rnacentral:rRNA from 1 species
AGCUCCAAUAGCAUAUAUUAAAGUUGUUGCAGUUAAAAAGCUCGUAGUUGGAUUUCUGGCUGAACAUAUGGGUUCGCUAUUAUGAGUAUGCACCAUACAUGUUUGGCUAUCCUUUGGGAGAGCCACAGUGGCAUUACGUUGUUAGUGUGGGGAUCCCAAUCCUUUACUGUGAAGAACUUAGAGUGUUCAAAGCAGGCUUAUGUCGUUGAAUAUAUUAGCAUGGAAUCAUAACAUAGGACUUUUGUACUAUUUUGUUGGUUUGCACACAAAAGUAUUGAUUAACAGAGACAAUUGAAAUUAUUUGUGUUCCGUUGUCAGAGGUGAAAUUCUUGGAUUUUUGGAAGACAAACUACUGUGAAAGCAUUUAUCAAAGUUGUUUUCA